UGGUGGAGUGAUUUGUCUGGUUAAUUCCGUUAACGAACGAGACCUCAUCCUACUAAUUAUGUCCUUCUAAUCUUCGGAUUGGAGGUUGACUUCUUAGAGGUACUGUUGGUGCUACAAGCCGACGGAAGUUUGAGGCAAUAACA
rnacentral:rRNA from 1 species